rnacentral:piRNA from 1 species
UGGGUACGCGUUGCACCUAUUGGUGUACCUA